rnacentral:rRNA from 1 species
CGAAAGCCUGAUGGAGCAACGCCGCGUGAGGGAUGAAGGCCUCUGGGCUGUAAACCUCUUUUCUCAAGGAAGAAGAUCUGACGGUACUUGAGGAAUAAGCCACGGCUAAUUCCGUGCCAGCAGCCGCGGUAAUACGGGAGUGGCAAGCGUUAUCCGGAAUUAUUGGGCGUAAAGCGUCCGCAGGCGGCCUUGUAAGUCUGCCGUUAAAGCGUGGAGCUUAACUCCAUUUCAGCGGUGGAAACUACAAGGCUUGAGUGUGGUAGGGGCAGAGGGAAUUCCCGGUGUAGCGGUGAAAUGCGUAGAUAUCGGGAAGAACACCAGUGGCGAAGGCGCUCUGCUGGGCCAUAACUGACGCUCAUGGACGAAAGCCAGGGGAGCG